rnacentral:rRNA from 1 species
AUGGGAGUUUUCAAACUCAACCAAAGCUUCUGCGAGAGUUAUGAGAAAACCAUUAGGGAUUUCUGGCGGGGAGAUAAAGAUGAGCGCCGAAAAGUGCAUUGGAUGUCAUGGGAAAAUAUGACGAAGCCAAAAAGAGAUGGUGGUAUCGGGUUUCGUGACAUGCACCUUUUUAACCAGGCACUCGUAGCAAGACAAGGAUGGAGGUUAAUUCAAAACCCAAAUAGUAUGUGUGCAAGGGUAUUAAAAUCAAAAUAUUACCCAAAUGGUGACUUAAUCGACACGGUUUUUGCCACAGACGCCUCACCGGUGUGGAGAGGAAUUGAAUUUGGGCUGGAGUUACUCAAAGAAGGACUGAUUUGGCGUGUAGGCAAUGGGAGGAAAAUCCAGAUUACAAGAGAUCAAUGGAUCCCAAGAAAGGAAGGCCUUAAGACUGCCACUUUUAUCCGGAGAACUUGA